rnacentral:rRNA from 1 species
GGAUGCGAUCAUACCAGCACUAAAGCACCGGAUCCCAUCAGAACUUCGAAGUUAAGCGUGCUUGGGCGAGAGUAGUACUAGGAUGGGUGACCUCUUGGGAAGUCCUUGUGUUGCAUUCC